AAAUAAAUCUGAAAAUUGUGGUGUUAAAAUAUACUGUCUGUGUAAUUUAAUGUGUGAUUUGAAUGAAACUCUUGUAUUACUUGGUGUGUUUCCCCUUUUAGUAUAACUGCAAAGCUCAAGGUAAUAUAUUUUUAUUAGAUUCAUUCCUUCUUGUUUAUGCAGAUCACUUGUGCAAAGCCAACAGGAUUUAGUUCACAAAGCUUCAGACUCGGUGUUCCUGUACUGCACCUUGAUUAGCCUUGGUUAUUCUUCAGGUGAUUCUUCAGGUCAAGGAGCACAUCCAUCAUAUGAAACAGGGAUGACAUGCAGAAUGCAGGGUAGUAGUACCACAUCAUAUUGGUAUUACUGUGCUACAAUAUCUGGUCCACUAAGCAAUACUGGUUCAAAAUCAAAUGUUAUUAGUGCUGUUAUCAGGGUAGUGCUGUGAUAUCAUAAUAACUUCUGUCGGGGUAUUUCCACUUCGAAUGUACUUAAUGUUUCUAUUGUGUUCUGGUAACUUACUCAUAGUUGGCUUAACAGGAAAGUAAUGUGCUUUCCUGCAAUUUGCUAAGGCAAGUAUGGAGAAAAGUUUGGAUUUAGUAAAAUACUGCCGUAUUUCAGUUUUGUGUUUCCCAGAUACUGUGCGCCUUACAGAUGUUGGGGAACACAUCUGAACUGAAAGCAGUGGUGCUGCUCCUCAUGACCUCACUGUGGGAGAUGCAGUUGAAGCGCUGACGGAACUGUUUUCCCCGAUUUCCAUGCUAGCUGUGAAGACUGAGGAGUAUGAGAAAUUUAAAGUCCAAGUUGUCAGCAUCCUUUGGAGCUAUGCUCAGUGCAAGGAUCCUGUGGUAGCAAGCAGUGGCUACAAAGCACUUUCAGAAUUCAGUGCUGAAGAACAUAUAAUACUUCAUCUUCCAGAGCAGGCCAGACCAGAGGUCAAGAAACCUGAAGCUAAUGAAGAAAUUAAUGACUAGGAGAAGGACGAUCUUUCUGUAUCAGGCACGUCCUACAUCAAACACCUCACACUAACAACUCCUGCUAUGUACAGUGACACUUUUUGGCAUCCCUCGUGAAGCAGGAGAUGGUUGCAAUGCCUCGCAGAGGGUACCACUCGGCUCUGAAAGGGGGAACCUUGUGCUCUAGCCAAGGGAUAGCAUAGCAGGGAUUCCAGGGUUCAUGCUGAAAACCUAUGAACAGAUCAGGCAGCCAGGUCUGAAACCUGGACUAGCAGCAGGGAGAGAUCUGUGCUGACUCUGCUGGCGUGUUCACGGGCUGCAGGAAGAGGGCGGCAGUCACCCAACAACCGCCUACUCUGGAUCGGGUGGUCGAACUAGCCGAGUAGUACCAGGCAGCGGAGCCAACGCCUAUGAAACUGCCGGGGAGGAGUGCGGCUCCUGGAUCGUCCCCUCAACCGGCCCCGGAGAGGGCGAAGGGACUGGGGGGAAGGGGUAGUCC